UACGUAGGGAGCGAGCGUUGUCCGGAAUUACUGGGCGUAAAGGGUGCGUAGGCGGCAUGGCAAGUCAGAUGUGAAAUCCCCGGGCUUAACUCGGGAGUUGCAUUUGAAACUGCUGUGCUUGAGUGCAGGAGAGGAAAGCGGAAUUCCUAGUGUAGCGGUGAAAUGCGUAGAUAUUAGGAGGAACACCAGUGGCGAAGGCGGCUUUCUGGACUGUAACUGACGCUGAGGCACGAAAGCGUGGGGAGCAAACAGGAUUAGAUACCCGGGUA
rnacentral:rRNA from 1 species